rnacentral:rRNA from 1 species
UACGAAGGGGGCUAGCGUUGCUCGGAAUCACUGGGCGUAAAGGGUGCGUAGGCGGGUUCUUAAGUCAGAGGUGAAAUCCUGGAGCUCAACUCCAGAACUGCCUUUGAUACUGAGAGUCUUGAGUACGGGAGAGGUGAGUGGAACUGCGAGUGUAGAGGUGAAAUUCGUAGAUAUUCGGAAGAACACCAGUGGCGAAGGCGCUCACUGGCCCGUUACUGACGCUCAGGCGCGACAGCGUGGGGAGCAAACGAGGAU